rnacentral:rRNA from 1 species
AAUCAACGCUGGCGGCGUGCCUAACACAUGCAAGUCGAACGCGGUUACCUCGCAAGGGGUAACUGAGUGGCGAACGGGUGAGUAACGCGUGGGUGACCUACCUCUGAGUGGGGGAUAACG